rnacentral:rRNA from 1 species
UGCCAGCAGCCGCGGUAAUACUGAAGGUGCAAGCGUUAAUCGGAAUCACUGGGCGUAAAGCGCUCGUAGGUGGCUUUGUAAGUCAGAUGUGAAGGCCCACGGCUCAACCGUGGAAUUGCAUUUGAUACUGCAUCGCUAGAGUAUGGGAGAGGGUAGUGGAAUUCCUGGUGUAGAGGUGAAAUUCGUAGAUAUCAGGAGGAACACCGGUGGCGAAGGCGACUACCUGGACCAAUACUGACGCUGAGGCUCGAAGGCGUGGGGAGCAAACAGGAUUAGAUA